rnacentral:rRNA from 1 species
AUGGCCGGGGGCUUCGCCGGCGUCGAGGCCGGCGGCGGGAGGGCGGAGCAGUACGAGGGGAGGAUCACGCCCUACUUCAUCCUCGCCUGCAUCGUCGGCUCCUUCGGCGGCUCCCUCUUCGGCUACGACCUCGGGGUCUCCAGUGGUGUGACCUCCAUGGACGACUUCUUGAUCAAGUUCUUCCCGGACGUGUACGACCGGAAGCACGCGCACCUGCACGAGACGGACUACUGCAAGUACGACAACCAGGUGCUGACCCUCUUCACGUCGUCGCUCUACUUCGCCGGCCUGGUGUCCACCUUCGGGGCCUCCUACGUGACCAAGCGCCACGGCCGGCGCGGCAGCAUCAUGGUGGGCGCCGUCAGCUUCUUCCUGGGCGGCGCCGUGAACGCCGCGGCCGUGAACGUGGCCAUGCUCAUCGUCGGCCGCGUCCUCCUCGGCGUCGGCAUCGGCUUCGGCAACCAGGCCGUGCCGCUGUACCUGUCGGAGAUCGCGCCCUUCAAGAUCCGCGGCGCCGUGAACCAGCUCUUCCAGCUCACCACCUGCCUCGGCAUCCUCGUCGCCAACGUGAUCAACUACUUCACCGACCGGAUCCACCCGUGGGGGUGGCGCCUCUCGCUGGGCCUCGCCGUCGUCCCCGCCACCGCCAUCUUCGUCGGCGCGCUGUUCCUGCCGGAGACGCCCAACAGCCUGGUGGAGCGCGGGCGGCUGGAGGAGGCGCGGCGCGUGCUAGAGAAGGUGCGCGGGACGCACAAGGUGGACGCCGAGUUCGAGGACCUCAAGGAGGCGAGCGAGGCGGCGCGGGCGGUGCGUGGCACGUUCCGGAACCUGCUGGCCGUGCGGAACCGGCCGCAGCUCAUCAUCGGCGCGCUGGGCAUCCCGGCGUUCCAGCAGCUGUCGGGCAUGAACUCCAUCCUCUUCUACUCGCCGGUCAUCUUCCAGAGCCUGGGGUUCGGCUCCUCCGCGGCGCUCUACUCCUCCAUCAUCACGGGCUCCAUGCUGGUGGUGGGCGCGCUGGUGUCCAUGGUGGUGGUGGACCGGCUCGGGCGGCGGGUGCUGUUCAUCGAGGCCGGGGCCCAGAUGAUCGCGUCCAUGGUGGUGGUGGCGACGAUCCUGGCGCUCAAGUUCGGGCACGGGGAGGAGCUGUCCAAGGGCGUGAGCACGGUGCUGGUGGUGGCCAUCUGCUUGUUCGUGGUGGCGUACGGGUGGUCGUGGGGGCCGCUGGGGUGGCUGGUGCCGAGCGAGUUGUUCCCGCUGGAGAUGCGGUCGGCGGGGCAGAGCGUGGUGGUGUGCGUGAACCUGUUCUGGACGGCGGCGGUGGCGCAGUGCUUCCUGGCGGCCAUGUGCCACCUCCGGUGGGGGGUGUUCAUCCUCUUCGCGGCGCUCAUCGUGGUCAUGUCCAUCUUCGUCAUCCUGCUGCUGCCGGAGACGAAGCAGGUGCCCAUCGAGGAGAUCUGGCUGCUGUUCGACAAGCACUGGUACUGGAAGCGGGUCGUCACCAAGGACCCCAAGUACCAGGGCCACCACCAACGCCAGGAAAUGGCCGCCGCCGCCUCCGCCGUCAAGCCCGUCGUCACGUCGGAAUAG